GUUCGAAUAAGGAAUAAUGUUAUACAAGUGUAUUAGUAUAAAUAGAAGGAAAAACAUUCUGUAAAACAUAAGUCUUUACAUUGCUCUUACUUACAUUCUUUCUCUCUUCUACAAUUACAAUAUUCUCAAGUGUAUUUAGUACAAGCUAUAAGCUGCUAGCUGCUAGCUGUAAGUUCUAAUCUUCUCAUAUAGUAAGGCUGGCAAAAGCUGACACGACACGAUAACACGACACGAACACGACCUGAAAACACCGGGUUAGGGUUGAGAUUUUUGACACGAAAAGUUAAAUGGGUCGACACGAAUACGACCUGAAAGUUAAACGGGUUAGGUUAAGGUUGAAUUUUCUGACACGAAACCAACCUGAAUUGACCUGAAAAUAUAAAAGCCCAAAAAAAUCCAUUUAGAUCGAAAAUACCAAAAUUUUAAUUAUGCCCAAAAUACCUACCUAGUAAACUUUGAGCCCAACCCUAAAAUAAACCCUAACUCUAUUCACUCGGUCAUAAUUCAUAAUGCGCCGCUUUCACUCUCUCAUUUAUUCUUUCACUCAUUCUUUUGCUCUCACUCUCUCUUCUUUCUUCUCUCAAGUCUCAGUGGAAAAAAAAUCAAAAAGGACUCGAAAAAUCAAAAUAAAAUUAAGAGAAGAUUGUACAACAAUUCAGACAAAUGUUAAGGAAAGAAGAAAUCAUGGGGAAUCGGUACGUAGGCUAAGAAGAAGAAAUUAAAUUUUGUUGUAAAUUUAAGGUUUUGAAUCCUUCUGAUAGAAAUUUUUGGCUAUAAAUGUGUAAUUUGCAUCUGAUUUUUAAUUGAAAUGCUACUUGUA